UCGAACGCGAAAGCCCCGCAAGGGGUAAGUAGAGUGGCAAACGGGUGAGUAACGCGUGGGUGACCUGCCGUCGAGAGGGGGAUAACGUUCCGAAAGGGACGCUAAUACCGCAUGACAUUCUCUCUUUGAACAGAGGGUAAUCAAAGUCUGGGACCGCAAGGCCAGGCGCUCGAUGAGGGGCCCGCGUCCGAUUAGCUAGUUGGUGGGGUAAUGGCCCACCAAGGCGACGAUCGGUAUCCGGCCUAAGAGGGCGGACGGACACACUGGGACUGAGACACGGCCCAGACUCCUACGGGAGGCAGCAGUGGGGAAUUGUUCGCAAUGGGCGCAAGCCUGACGACGCAACGCCGCGUGGAGGACGAAGAUCUUCGGGUCGUAAACUCCUGUCGAGUGGGAAGAACGAUUCGCGGGUGAACAAUCCGCGGAAGUGACGGUACCACUAAAGGAAGCCCCGGCUAACUCCGUGCCAGCAGCCGCGGUAAUACGGGGGGGGCAAGCGUUGUUCGGAAUUACUGGGCGUAAAGGGCUUGUAGGCGGCCAACUAAGUCAGACGUGAAAUCCCUCGGCUUAACCGGGGAACUGCGUCUGAUACUGGAUGGCUUGAAUCCGGGAGAGGGAUGCGGAAUUCCAGGUGUAGCGGUGAAAUGCGUAGAUAUCUGGAGGAACACCGGUGGCGAAGGCGGCAUCCUGGACCGGCAUUGACGCUGAAAAGCGAAAGCCAGGGGAGCAAACGGGAUUAGAUACCCCGGUAGUCCUGGCCCUAACGAUGAAUGCUUGGUGUGGCG
rnacentral:rRNA from 1 species